rfam:Ornithorhynchus anatinus chromosome 4, whole genome shotgun sequence.
AGCAGCGUGGCUCAGUGGAAAGAGCAUGGGCUUUGGAGUCAGAGGUCAUGGGUUCAAAUCCCAGCUCGGCCA